rfam:Populus trichocarpa scaffold_1_contig_552, whole genome shotgun sequence.
UCUGAAACUCGAGAUAUAGACUGAACACUGAAUAAUAUUUGGGCUGCAAGACAAAUUCCGACUUCUCCGUUGUUGCUACCAUUCGAAAAUGGCACUUUUAAAUCUUGGACUCUCCAUGAAAGGUUUAGGCCUAUGUCUUAGCUUUCCAUA